GGCAUGUGGCUCACAGUUCCUGAGGCAGCUUCUUCUCACUCCUUCCAAAAUACUUCUGAAGACUCAGAAAGAAUGAAAAUUCUCCAAGAAAAUGGAACACCAAGACUGACAAUCCAUUAACUGCCAGGAUUUUGGAGAAAAUUCCACCAACCACAAAACCUAUGGAGAGGAAUAGAGAACUAUAAUUGGAAGCAUUUCCAACUUUGGCUGCUUGGAGGAGCAAAUCUGUCCCCAUGAGAAGACAAUCUGCAGCUUCAUUUCUCCCCCCUGCCUAGUUCUUGGCUGUGCAUUUGGAAUCUGAAAUAUCAACCGCAGAACGAGCUGCAUAGACAGCACUUACAGGUAAUGGCUGAUCCUGUGGAAAAUGGAAACCCUAAUAUGGACCAUCAUUUUGAAAAGCUUUCCCAGAAUGCAGAAGAAAAAAAAGAUAGACACAGAAUCAUAAGAAAAGAUGGUAGAUAUAGGAUAGACAGAAAAAAGAGCUAACCCAGGUAUAACUAAUGUGCUUGAAGAAACUUAACCAAAACAAUAAUAAACUUUUAGCAACAA